rnacentral:lncRNA from 1 species
UACCUUAAUAUUGUUACAGUCUGGUGGGGGAAAUCCACAAUAUUCUUCAUCCUGUCACUUACAAAUUAAAAAAGUAUCCAUUGUUUAUUCCUUCCUAUAAUGCCGUGGCUAUUGGUGCAACCACAGGUGUGGUGAUUGAUCUAAGCUCUUCAAUGUUAAGGAGCAUGUGAGCAUUUGUUGCACACAUGCACUGAUACGAAUUGGCUCUGAGUCCCCACCCAAACUGCAUCUCGAAUUGUAAUCUGCACUUGUGGAGGGAGGGAGGCGAUUGGAUCAUGGGGGUGGGUUUCCCUCAUGCUGUUCUGGUGGUAGUGAGUGAGUUCUCAUGAGAUCUGACGGUUUUAUAAGAGUCUGGAAUUUCCCCUGCUUGCACUUAAGGUCCUUGCUUCCUCUUCACCUUCUACCAUGAUUGCAAGUUUCCUGAUGCCUCCCCAGCCAUGUGGAACUGAAGGACAAGAGUUAAUCACCAGUGACAACUUAUCUGCCUGAAGUUGACACCAGAGGAAUCUAUGUAAUAAACUCUACUAACUAGUCCUUAUCUACCAUUAGUUUCUCAUACAUUUACCAGCCCACAUGUGCUGCCAUUGGAAGCCUAAAACCACUUUCCUUUGUCUUAUCAUUUCCCUACAAACUUACUGUUCUUUGUUGAAGAUGCUGCAUAAGCCACCGUUCCAAGCCACAUCUUUGCUCAUUCCCAGAGUUUCUCCCACACAUAUAUGAGAUAUACAUGUUAAUAAGCAUCUCUUUGUUUUUCUCUUGUGAAUCUCUCUUUGUUAUAGGGGCCCCAGGUGAGAACUUAGAAGGGUUGAAGGAAAGAUCUUUUUCCUCCUCUAUACAUACAACAGAAA